AAAUUGAAGAGUUUGAUCAUGGCUCAGAUUGAACGCUGGCGGCAGGCCUAACACAUGCAAGUCGAACGGUAACAGGAAGCAGCUUGCUGCUUCGCUGACGAGUGGCGGACGGGUGAGUAAUGUCUGGGAAACUGCCUGAUGGAGGGGGAUAACUACUGGAAACGGUGGCUAAUACCGCAUAACGUCGCAAGACCAAAGAGGGGGACCUUCGGGCCUCUUGCCAUCAGAUGUGCCCAGAUGGGAUUAGCUAGUUGGUGAGGUAACGGCUCACCAAGGCGACGAUCCCUAGCUGGUCUGAGAGGAUGACCAGCCACACUGGAACUGAGACACGGUCCAGACUCCUACGGGAGGCAGCAGUGGGGAAUAUUGCACAAUGGGCGCAAGCCUGAUGCAGCCAUGCCGCGUGUAUGAAGAAGGCCUUCGGGUUGUAAAGUACUUUCAGCGGGGAGGAAGGUGUUGUGGUUAAUAACCGCAGCAAUUGACGUUACCCGCAGAAGAAGCACCGGCUAACUCCGUGCCAGCAGCCGCGGUAAUACGGAGGGUGCAAGCGUUAAUCGGAAUUACUGGGCGUAAAGCGCACGCAGGCGGUCUGUCAAGUCGGAUGUGAAAUCCCCGGGCUCAACCUGGGAACUGCAUUCGAAACUGGCAGGCUUGAGUCUUGUAGAGGGGGGUAGAAUUCCAGGUGUAGCGGUGAAAUGCGUAGAGAUCUGGAGGAAUAC
rnacentral:rRNA from 1 species